GAAAAUAUUUAACAGACUGAAUAAUUACUGAUAUCAAAUUACAUCAUUUAUGGCUUCAGAUGUUGGUUUAUUUCUCCUAGGGUGUCAUGCUCUAAAUGAUGUCAGUAUAUGGCAUAUGUAUGCUCUGAUACUGGCUUCAGAUGGUGAUUUAUUUCUCCAAGAGUGUCAUGCUCUAAAUGAUGUCAGUAUAUGGCAUAUGUAGGCUCUGAUAUUGGCUUCAGGU